CUUCCUUGUGGGUUGGCUGUGGCUCGGAAGUGGCGGCUUCCUGGAGCCUGUGUGUCCAUUCCCAACUUCCUUGCAUCUAGAGCCUGUUUACUAGCAUGUCACUGCCUAUCACACAAUAAGGCUGGUGAAAUUCUAUUGAAAUAAUCCAUGUAAAAUGCUCAGUGGAGUGCACGAUACAAGUCAAUUCACUUCAGAAAGUAUCUACCCCCGUGUCCCCAGCAGCACAUUUCAUCCACACCACGAAGCGAACAGAAAGAGACCUAAAGCUUGGUCUAUGUGCUUCUGCCACUCACGUCUGAGGACACACAAGCCUAAAAGAUGAACGAUACGGUGUUUAUACUUCUCCCUAGGAAGAGCCAUAGGCCUUGGGCCCCAUCAAGGGUCUCUCCUGGAGUUUCAGUCAAGAAGUCAGCUUGACUGGCUCUGGAAUAUUGGCUUCCACACUGGCUCCUUGCAUGGCUGGC
rnacentral:lncRNA from 1 species